GGUCCGUUAGCUCAGUCGGCAGAGCGUGGUGCUGAUAAAGCCAAGGUCGUGAGUUCGAUUCUCACACGGACCA
rnacentral:tRNA from 1 species